rnacentral:rRNA from 1 species
AAUGGGGGCAACCCUGAUCCAGCCUGCCGCGUGAGUGAUGAAGGCCUUAGGGUCGUAAAGCUCUUUCGCCUGUGAAGAUAAUGACGGUAGCAGGUAAAGAAACCCCGGCUAACUCCGUGCCAGCAGCCGCGGUAAUACGGAGGGGGUUAGCGUUGUUCGGAAUUACUGGGCGUAAAGCGCACGUAGGCGGAUCGGAAAGUUGGGGGUGAAAUCCCGGGGCUCAACCCCGGAACUGCCUCCAAAACUAUCGGUCUAGAGUUCGAGAGAGGUGAGUGGAAUUCCGAGUGUAGAGGUGAAAUUCGUAGAUAUUCGGAGGAACACCAGUGGCGAAAGGCGGCUCACUGGCUCGAUACUGACGCUGAGGUGCGAAAGUGUGGGGGAGCAACAGGAUUAAAUACCCUGGUAGUCCACACCGUAACGAUGAAUGCCAGUUCCUCGGGUAACAUGCUAUUUCGUGGACCACCUAACGGAUUAA